CACUUUGUCUUGAAGCAGACAGGUCUGGACACACUGACCACAGACAGACAGACAGACAGGUCUGGACACACUGACCAUAGACAGACAGACAGACGGGUCUGGACACACUGACCACAGACAGACAGACAGACAGGUCUGGACACACUGACCACAGACAGACAGACAGGUCUGGACACACUGACCACAGACAGACAGGUCUGGACACACUGACUACAGACAGACAGACAGACAGGUCUGGACACACUGACUACAGACAGACAGACAGGUCUGGACACACUGACUACAGACAGACAGGUCUGGACACACUGACUACAGACAGACAGGUUUGGACACACUGACCACAGACAGGCAGACAGGACACUGCAGUCAGAAAGAGAGAGUGUCACACACAGAGUCUGGACUAGGGGUAGCCCUGCUGGGCUUUG
ensembl:lncRNA